AUGGAAAUCAGCCGUAGAGUGCAAACGCAGAAGAGUGCUUGACUGCGAGACAAACAAGUCGAGCAGGGACGAAAGUCGGUGUUAGUGAUCCGGCGGUGCAGAAUGGAAUGGCCGUCGCUUAACGGAUAAAAGCUACCCCGGGGAUAACAGGCUGAUACUUCCCAAGAGUCCAUAUCGACGGAAGUGUUUGGCACCUCGAUGUCGGCUCGUCUCAUCCUGGGGCUGGAGAAGGUCCCAAGGGUUGGGCUGUUCGCCCAUUAAAGAGGCACGCGAGCUGGGUUCAGAACGUCGUGAGACAGUUCGGUCCCUAUCCACUGCAGGCGUCAGAAUAUUGAAGGGAUCUGUCCUUAGUACGAGAGGACCGGGAUGGACGGACCAAUGAUGUACCGGUUGUCACGCCAGUGGCACGGCCGGGUAGUCACGUCCGGAAGGGAUAACCGCUGAAAGCAUCUAAGCGGGAAGCCCACCCUGAGAUGAAUGUUCUUUCAAGCAUCCGCCGAGAACAGGCGGUGAUAGGCCGGGGGUGCAAGCAUGGUGACAUGUUCAGCUGACCGGUACUAAUAAAUGCGUAAGCUU
rnacentral:rRNA from 1 species